rnacentral:rRNA from 1 species
GAAUGCUGACAUAAGUAACGAUAAAGCGGGUGAAAAGCCCGCUCGCCGGAAGACCAAGGGUUCCUGUCCAACGUUAAUCGGGGCAGGGUGAGUCGACCCCUAAGGCGAGGCCGAAAGGCGUAGUCGAUGGGAAACGGGUUAAUAUUCCCGUACUUGGUGUUACUGCGAAGGGGGGACGGAGAAGGCUAUGUUGGCCGGGCGACGGUUGUCCCGGUUUAAGCGUGUAGGUGUGUGUUCCAGGUAAAUCCGGUUCACUUUAACACUGAGGCGUGACGACGAGGCACUACGGUGCUGAAGCAACAAAUGCCCUGCUUCCAGGAAAAGCCUCUAAGCAUCAGGUAACAUCAAAUCGUACCCCAAACCGACACAGGUGGUCAGGUAGAGAAUACCAAGGCGCUUGAGAGAACUCGGGUGAAGGAACUAGGCAAAAUGGUGCCGUAACUUCGGGAGAAGGCACGCUGACACGUAGGUGAAGUGAUUUACUCAUGGAGCUGAAGUCAGUCGAAGAUACCAGCUGGCUGCAACUGUUUAUUAAAAACACAGCACUGUGCAAACACGAAAGUGGACGUAUACGGUGUGACGCCUGCCCGGUGCCGGAAGGUUAAUUGAUGGGGUCAGCGCAAGCGAAGCUCCUGAUCGAAGCCCCGGUAAACGGCGGCCGUAACUAUAACGGUCCUAAGGUAGCGAAAUUCCUUGUCGGGUAAGUUCCGACCUGCACGAAUGGCGUAAUGAUGGCCAGGCUGUCUCCACCCGAGACUCAGUGAAAUUGAACUCGCUGUGAAGAUGCAGUGUACCCGCGGCAAGACGGAAAGACCCCGUGAACCUUUACUAUAGCUUGACACUGAACAUUGAGCCUUGAUGUGUAGGAUAGGUGGGAGGCUUUGAAGUGUGGACGCCAGUCUGCAUGGAGCCGACCUUGAAAUACCACCCUUUAAUGUUUGAUGUUCUAACGUGGACCCGUAAUCCGGGUUGCGGACAGUGUCUGGUGGGUAGUUUGACUGGGGCGGUCUCCUCCUAAAGAGUAACGGAGGAGCACGAAGGUUGGCUAAUCCUGGUCGGACAUCAGGAGGUUAGUGCAAUGGCAUAAGCCAGCUUGACUGCGAGCGUGACGGCGCGAGCAGGUGCGAAAGCAGGUCAUAGUGAUCCGGUGGUUCUGAAUGGAAGGGCCAUCGCUCAACGGAUAAAAGGUACUCCGGGGAUAACAGGCUGAUACCGCCCAAGAGUUCAUAUCGACGGCGGUGUUUGGCACCUCGAUGUCGGCUCAUCACAUCCUGGGGCUGAAGUAGGUCCCAAGGGUAUGGCUGUUCGCCAUUUAAAGUGGUACGCGAGCUGGGUUUAGAACGUCGUGAGACAGUUCGGUCCCUAUCUGCCGUGGGCGCUGGAGAACUGAGGGGGGCUGCUCCUAGUACGAGAGGACCGGAGUGGACGCAUCACUGGUGUUCGGGUUGUCAUGCCAAUGGCACUGCCCGGUAGCUAAAUGCGGAAGAGAUAAGUGCUGAAAGCAUCUAAGCACGAAACUUGCCCCGAGAUGAGUUCUCCCUGAGACUUUAAGUCUCCUGAAGGAACGUUGAAGACGACGACGUUGAUAGGCCGGGUGUGUAAGCGCAGCGAUGCGUUGAGCUAACCGGUACUAAUGAACCGUGAGGCUUAACCUUACAAC